UCCGGGCCCCGAAGCCCGGCCUCCCCGCCGCGGAGCCGGGCCUCGGGCGAGCGGACCAAGGGCUGAGCCCGCUGUCCCCAGCCUGCUUCGGGACUUCUCACACCUACAUCCCAUCAGCAAAGCUAAGCCGCGCCUAUGUGUGAAAGCCGCUGAGUACCACUCCCCACAUCCCUCAGUGUGGAUAUGUACGUAUGUACAUGUGCGUGCAGACACCCACGGAGAUCCCACUGGUCUAGGAACUAAACACCAGUCCUCUGCGAGAGCGAAGGGACUCCGUGCACAGCACUAGCUCUGGAGAGAUUGUCUUCCAACUCUGCAUUCACUCACCGGUGGACAGAGGCAGCUGCUCAGGGGAACCAGCUACAGGGAAGGCUCGAGAGAGUCUCACACAUCUUGUGACAUCUCAGAGACAUCUGGUGACAGCUAGGUGGCAUGAAGCUCAGCGGGGGCCGUACUUCUCAGAGGUGUACCCCUGACCAAACCUACAAAUGCUGCUUCCUGGUCAAGGCUUC
rnacentral:lncRNA from 1 species